AAGGAGACAGCGAAUGUUCCUGAGCGGCCGAGUUUACAGGUUUUAUUGAUUUAUUUAUUUCACCUUUAUUUAACCAGGUAGGCUAGUUGAGAACAAGUCCUUUAUUUAACCAGGUUAGGCUAGUUGAGAACAAGUCCUUUAUUUAACCAGGUUAGGCUAGUUGAGAACAAGUCCUUUAUUUAACCAGGUAGGCUAGUUGAGAACAAGUCCUUUAUUUAACCAGGUUAGGCUAGUUGAGAACAAGUUCUCAUUUACAACUGCGACCUGGCCAAGAUAAAGCAAAGCAGUUCGACAACAUACAACAACACAGAGUUACACAUGGAAUAAAAACAAACAUACAGUCAAUAAUAC
rnacentral:lncRNA from 1 species